UACGUAGGGUGCAAGCGUUGUCCGGAAUUAUUGGGCGUAAAGAGCUCGUAGGCGGUCUGUCGCGUCUGCUGUGAAAACUCGGGGCUUAACCCCAGUCCUGCUUCCGAUACGGGUGGACUAGAGGUAGGUAGGGGAGAAUGGAAUUCCCCGGUGUAGCGGUGAAAUGCGCAGAUAUCGGGAGGAACACCGGUGGCGAAGGCGGUUCUCUGGGCCUUACCUGACGCUGAGGAGCGAAAGCGUGGGGAGCGAACAGG
rnacentral:rRNA from 1 species